rnacentral:rRNA from 1 species
GUGUCAGCCGCCGCGGUAAGACAGAGGGUGCAAACGUUGUUCGGAAUUACUGGGCGUAAAGCGUGUGUAGGCGGCCGCGUAAGUCGGAUGUGAAAGCCCUGGGCUCAACCCAGGAAGUGCACUCGAUACUGCGUGGCUCGAGUACUGGAGAGGUUGGUGGAAUUCUCGGUGUAGAGGUGAAAUUCGUAGAUAUCGAGAGGAACACCGGUGGCGAAGGCGGCCAACUGGACAGAUACUGACGCUGAGACACGAAAGCGUGGGGAGCAAACAGGAUUAGAUACCCGCGUAGUCC